GAUGAACGCUGGCGGCGUGCCUAAUACAUGCAAGUCGAGCGAACAGACGCUGAGCUUGCUCCUCUGACGUUAGCGGCGGACGUGUGAGUAACACGUGUAUAACCUACCUAUCAUACUGGGAUCACUUCGGGACACCGGCGCUAAUACCGUAUAAUCUAUUGCACCGCAUGGUUCAUUAGUGAAAGACGGUUUUGCUGUCUCUUAUAGAUGGAUCCGCGCCGCAUUAGCUAGUUGGUACGUUAACGGCUUACCACGGCAACGAUGCGUAGCCGACCUGAGAGGGUGAUCGGCCACACGGGAACUGAGACACGGUCCAGACUCCUACGGGAGGCAGCAGUAGGGAAUCGGCCGCAGAGGGCGGAAGCUUGACGGAGCAACGCCGCGUGAGUGAUGAAGGUGUUGGGAGCGUAAAACUCUGUUAUUAGGGAAGAACAAAUGUGGAAGGAACUAUGGACGUAGUGACGGUAACUAAUAAGAAAGCCACGGCUAACUACGUG
rnacentral:rRNA from 1 species